GAAUGUUGGACGGGCUGGAAACCCUGUGAGGUGAGACUAUGGAAUAGACUGUUGGACGGGCUGGGAACCCUGUGAGGUGAGACUAUGGAAUAGACUGUUGGACGGGCUGGGAACCCUGUGAGGUGAGACUAUGGAAUAGACUGUUGGACGGGCUGGGAACCCUGUGAGGUGAGAUGGAAGGCCUGUAUGGUGAGACUAUGGAAUAGACUGUUGGACGGGCUGGGAACCCUGUGAGGUGAGAUGGAAGGCCUGUAUGGUGAGACUAUGGAAUAGACUGUUGGACGGGCUGGGAACCCUGUGAGGUGAGAUGGAAGGCCUGUAUGGUGAGACUAUGGAAUAGACUGUUGGACGGGCUGGAAACCCUGUGAGGUGAGAUGGAAUGCCUGUAUGGUGAGACUAUGGAAUAGACUGUUGGACGGGCUGGGAACCCUGUGAGGGGAGAUGGAAGGCCUGUAUGGUGAGACUAUGGAAUAGACUGUUGGACGGGCUGGGAACCCUGUGAGGUGAGAUGGAAGGCCUGUAUGGUGAGACUAUGGAAUAGACUGUUGGACGGGCUGGGAACCCUGUGAGGUGAGAUGGAAGGCCUGUAUGGUGAGACUAUGGAAUAGACUGUUGGAUAUGACAACUACCAGAAUAGCUAGUAACGUUUUCCAAUGGGAUCUGUCCACAGGGGGAGACUGGGCAACUGAAAUACCUUUUUCAACAGUCUGACUGUGAACAUCUGUAUGAAAACCAAUGUAAGGGAGACAUAGAUAUGAUUAAAAAACCACUGUUGAUGCAAUAUGAAAACAAAAUGGGUGGAGGAUGACUAGUUUUUCACUCCUUAGGCGAUGUACAAUGCAGAGAACACCGGAAGAAGAAUUAUGAUUUAAUUAUCACAGUGAAUUAUUGUUAUGUUUGUUUACGUGUCAAUUAACCCCAGAAGGGAUGGGUUGCCAAUUGGAGAUUUGACACAAUACAUAAAAAAAAAAGAUGAUUCAUUCAUUCAUUUAAUUCAUAUAGAAAAUGAUCAAAACUAAAAACUCAACAAAUAUGUUGGAACAAUCCUUGACGAUUGCUGAUCAAUAUCCAAAAACAGUCUACAUUUUUGUUCUGAAAACCUACACCUCAUUACCAAUGUGAGGGGAUAUGGUGAAACGGUGUUCCAGUACUUUACUGCCGGUUUUUCCAAACUCUGUUCCAAAAAAACGUGGAUCCACCUUGUGGAUUUACCUUUUUGUCUUGGAGGAUUACCUUUGUUCUUGUGGAAUUCCUUUUGAGGUUGUGGAGUUACAUGUUUUCCUGAAGAACUUCACUUUUUACUUCAUUAAAUACACCGUCUCAAGUACUGCUGUGUCUGCCUCAUCUUCUGGAUUCUGCCGACUAUUCGUGGCUCAGUUGGUUAAGUGACUGUUUCUCACUCCGGAGACCCGGGUUCGUAACCGGGUCCUGACAGUAAUGGUCGUUUGUCGUUGUGUAUCCGUGAGCUGACGCUGUUUCUGUCCUGCUCUUUGUCUGUUCCUAAUUAAAUGUCAACUCCCCGUACCCGCUUCUCGUCUCCGGCGUCGGUCCUUACGCAACAAGUGCUGAGCAUACGUGGGAACUC